GAUGAACGCUAGCUACAGGCUUAACACAUGCAAGUCGAGGGGAAACGGCAUUUAGUGCUUGCACUGAAUGGACGUCGACCGGCGCACGGGUGAGUAACGCGUAUCCAACCUUCCCAUUACUGUGGGAUAACCUGCCGAAAGGCAGACUAAUACCGCAUAGUCUUCGAUGACGGCAUCAGAUUUGAAGUAAAGAUUUAUCGGUAAUGGAUGGGGAUGCGUCUGAUUAGCUUGUUGGCGGGGUAACGGCCCACCAAGGCAACGAUCAGUAGGGGUUCUGAGAGGAAGGUCCCCCACAUUGGAACUGAGACACGGUCCAAACUCCUACGGGAGGCAGCAGUAGGGAAUCUUCGGCAAUGGGGGCAACCCUGACCGAGCAACGCCGCGUGAGUGAAGAAGGUUUUCGGAUCGUAAAGCUCUGUUGUAAGUCAAGAACGAGUGUGAGAGUGGAAAGUUCACACUGUGACGGUAGCUUACCAGAAAGGGACGGCUAACUACGUGCCAGCAGCCGCGGUAAUACGUAGGUCCCGAGCGUUGUCCGGAUUUAUUGGGCGUAAAGCGAGCGCAGGCGGUUUGAUAAGUCUGAAGUUAAAGGCUGUGGCUCAACCAUAGUUCGCUUUGGAAACUGUCAAGCUUGAGUGCAGAAGGGGAGAGUGGAAUUCCAUGUGUAGCGGUGAAAUGCGUAGAUAUAUGGAGGAACACCGGUGGCGAAAGCGGCUCUCUGGUCUGUAACUGACGCUGAGGCUCGAAAGCGUGGGGAGCGAACAGG
rnacentral:rRNA from 1 species